rnacentral:rRNA from 1 species
GACGAACGCUGGCGGCGUGCCUUAUACAUGCAAGUCGAACGCAGUGGGGACGGGUGAGUUACACGUGGGUAACCUCCCCUCAGAGGGGAUAACACUUGGAAACAGGUGCUAAACCGAUACUGAUGGAUGGUACCGGAGUGCAUUAGCUAGUUGGUGAGGUAACGGCUCACCAAGGCCACGAUGCAUAGCCGACCUGAGAGGGUGACCGGCCACACUGGGACUGAGACACGGCCAAGACUCCUACGGGAGGCAGCAGUAGGGAAUCUUCGGCAAUGGAGGAAACUCUGACCGAGCAACACCGCGUGAGUGAAGAAGGUUUUCGGAUCGUAAAGCUCUGUUGUUAGGGAAGCGGUAUCUGACCAAAAAGCCACGGCUAACUACGUGCCAGCAGCCGCGGUAAUUC